rnacentral:rRNA from 1 species
UGGGGAAUAUUGGACAAUGGGCGGAAGCCUGAUCCAGCAACGCCGCGUGAGGGAUGACGGCCUUCGGGUUGUAAACCUCUUUCAGCACAGACGAAGCGCAAGUGACGGUAUGUGCAGAAGAAGGACCGGCCAACUACGUGCCAGCAGCCGCGGUAAUACGUAGGGUCCGAGCGUUGUCCGGAAUUAUUGGGCGUAAAGGGCUCGUAGGCGGUUUGUCGCGUCGGGAGUGAAAACACCGGGCUUAACUCGGUGCUUGCUUUCGAUACGGGCAGACUAGAGGCAUUCAGGGGAGAACGGAAUUCCUGGUGUAGCGGUGAAAUGCGCAGAUAUCAGGAGGAACACCGGUGGCGAAGGCGGUUCUCUGGGAAUGUCCUGACGCUGAGGAGCGAAAGUGUGGGGAGCGAACAGGAUUAGAUACCCUGGUAGUCCACACCGUAAACGUUGGGCGCUAGGUGUGGGAUCCAUUCCACGGGUUCCGUGCCGCAGCUAACGCAUUAAGCGCCCCGCCUGGGGAGUACGGCCGCAAGGCUAAAACUCAAAUGAAUUGACGGGGUCAUAGCUGUUUCCU